CUCCUACGGGAGGCAGCAGUGAGGAAUAUUGGUCAAUGGGCGCAAGCCUGAACCAGCCAUGCCGCGUGCAGGAUGACGGUCCUAUGGAUUGUAAACUGCUUUUGUACGGGAAGAAACACUCCUACGUGUAGGAGCUUGACGGUACCGUAAGAAUAAGGAUCGGCUAACUCCGUGCCAGCAGCCGCGGUAAUACGGAGGAUCCAAGCGUUAUCCGGAAUCAUUGGGUUUAAAGGGUCCGUAGGCGGUUUUAUAAGUCAGUGGUGAAAGCCCAUCGCUUAAC
rnacentral:rRNA from 1 species